UAGGUUUAGAACACGGAAACGAGAUUUAGAAUUGUGUAUGAGUUGCUGUUUCUGUCGUUCUCGUGCGCCUGCAUCAAGCUCAUCCACCUUAUGCUCCACUCAGUAUUCUAGUACAACACCUGAGGGCUGAUGGGAAGAGCUAAAGCUCCACUAGGUCAAAUGUUGACCAAAAAGAAGAAGUAAAAAAGGGUUAGCCACAAAAUUGGUAUUUUGGUUUAUAUUUUUUUAUUUUUUAUUAUAUAUGAAAUGACUAAUUUGUCCUCGUAUUUAACAGAAAUAUUGACAGAAUGUAACGGUGAACCAAUUUGCUGAAUAAUAUAGAAUUGAUGGAUCAUUU
rnacentral:lncRNA from 1 species